UACGAAGGUCCCAAGCGUUAUCCGGAUUUAUUGGGUUUAAAGGGUGCGUAGGCGGGUUAUUAAGUCAGUGGUGAAAGCCUUCAGCUUAACUGAAGAAUUGCCAUUGAUACUGAUGAUCUUGAGUAUGAUUGAGGUGGGCGGAAUGUGUCAUGUAGCGGUGAAAUGCUUAGAUAUGACACAGAACACCAAUUGCGAAGGCAGCUCACUAAGCCAUAACUGACGCUGAUGCACGAAAGCGUGGGGAGCAAACAGG
rnacentral:rRNA from 1 species